GCUGGCGGUGCGCCUUAUGCAUGCAAGUCGAGCGAAGCUUUUCAGUAGUUUACUACAGAAAAUGACUGAGCGGCGAACGGGUGAGUAACGCGUGAGCAAUCUACCUUAGUUACAGGGAUAGCCCGAGGAAACUCGGAUUAAUACCUGAUAUUCUUUACAUUUCGCAUGAAAUUAAAAGGAAAGGUCAGCCGAACUAAGAUGAGCUCGCGUUCUAUCAGCUAGUUGGUGAGGUAAUAGCUCACCAAGGCAACGACGGAUAGCUGGUCUGAGAGGACGAUCAGCCACACUGGGACUGAGACACGGCCCAGACUCCUACGGGAGGCUGCAGCAGGGAAUAUUGUGCAAUGAACGAAAGUUUGACACAGCGACACCGCGUGUGGGAUGACGGAUCUAGGUUUGUAAACCACUUUCAGGAGGGAAGAAAAUGACGGUACCUCCACAAGAAGCCCCGGCCAACUACGUGCCAGCAGCCGCGGUAAUACGUAGGGGGCGAGCGUUGUCCGGAUUUAUUGGGCGUAAAGAGCUCGUAGGCGGUUCAACAAGUCGGUCGUAAAAGUUCAGGGCUCAACCCUGAAAUGUCGAUCGAUACUGUUGUGACUAGGAUACGGUAGAGGUGAGUGGAAUUC
rnacentral:rRNA from 1 species